rnacentral:misc_RNA from 1 species
CUUUUAAUGAUAUAGCUCAUAAUUUAAAGAUUGUUAAUUUGGCAAAUAAUAUUCUUUCUACUAUCAGUUCUAUUGUGCUAACUGGAAUUAAUCCUAUAUAUAUUGAGCUUGAGCCCAACAAUUGGCUUUGCGAUUGUGAACUUUUGUCCUUGAUACAUUUCGUCUCUAAGCACUCUAGGCUGUUUAUAAAUGUGCCAUAUUGUCGCAUGCCCUACUACUUUUUUGGUAUACUCUUUAACGACCUAGACAGCAGUAAAAUAAAUUGUUCUACGGGUAAUGAACGUAUUACUACUACCCAAAAAACAUAUAUUUCAACCACAACUGCUGAGAAAACAAAUCAAACUACAACAGGCUGGCAAGAAGAACUUUCAACACUAACUACAAUAGGGAGUGUUUAGUUGUUCCCAGGCUGUUGAUUUAAAUGAAAGUGUACGCCUUACUAACCAUUCCCAGAGAGACAUAAACACAAAUAAAGUCGAACCAAAUCAAGCAAACUAUGCCAAUGGCAUUUUUGUUUUUCAACCCCCCACCUAUGACCUCUAUUUAGAGUUAUCAGAUGAUUUUAGUCUACAAGUACGAAUUGAUAACUAUAAUGAUGCAGACCAGAUAAACAUUAUUUGGUUUACAGAACUGUUCGAUAGCAAUAAAGAUGUAUUUGAUGUAGAUUACUCAUACAACUGUAUGCAAUAUUCUGGCCCGUUUUUAACCAUUGCUUCACUGCAUGGAAAUCAUACAUAUACUUUUUGUAUGAUGCCGACAGAUAACGUAGUUAUUUCCCCGCUCUUUUGUCAACCACUCUAUGUACCUAUGGUUGGAGAGAAAACUCAUAAUGCGACGGAUUCUAUUCAAAACACUAGCAAUAAUAAGCAGUUUUCGGUCGCCAUGCUGGUCUUAAUUCUUUUUGUUUCCACAAUUUUUGGAGCAAUAAUUUCAUAUCUUGGUAUCAAAGCCUACCCGGAUCUUUUAGAGGGCUCAAAGAACGUAUUAAUAAUUAAAAAAUUGGAUAAAACAUGCUAUAUAUCAACAAUAACAGAAUCCGAAUACACAAUAGAUGAAACAAAAAGAAAAUACUUUGGUGCAAAAAUUUUAAAUGAUACUCAGCAUCCUUUUUCAGAAGAAACAGUUGUGGAUACUAGAAGUGUUCUAGGCAAGGUUUAUAGAGUUGACGAGUAUGAAAUGCCUAAAGAACUGGAUUUUUCAAUAAAAGAGUAUAGUGAACUCAGUUAUGGAAGUACCCUCACUAUUCCCCCACCAUUACCAAAGCGUAAUUCUAAUAAUUUAAUAUUCAAUUAAAACAAGAAAUAAUAAAAGUUCA